rnacentral:rRNA from 1 species
CAGCCGUAAACUAUGCUCGCUAGGUGUCAGGCAUGGCGCGACCGUGUCUGGUGCCGCAGGGAAGCCGUGAAGCGAGCCACCUGGGAAGUACGGCCGCAAGGCUGAAACUUAAAGGAAUUGGCGGGGGAGCACAACAACGGGUGGAGCCUGCGGUUUAAUUGGACUCAACGCCGGGAAGCUCACCGGAUAAGACAGCGGAAUGAUUGCCGGGCUGAAGACUCUGCAUGACUAGCUGAGAGGAGGUGCAUGGCGUAGAC